rnacentral:rRNA from 1 species
AAGCACUUUUGUCCGGAAAGAAAUCCUUGGCUCUAAUACAGUCGGGGGAAGACGGUACCGGAAGAAUAAGCACCGGCUAACUUCGUGCCAGCAGCCGCGGUAAUACGUAGGGUGCGAGCGUUAAUCGGAAUUACUGGGCGUAAAGCGAGCGCACGCGGUUUGCUAAGACCGAUGUGAAUUCCCCGGGCUCAACCUGGGAACUGCAUUGGUGACUGGCAGGCUAGAGUAUGGCAGAGGGGGGUAGAAUUCCACGUGUAGCACUGAAAUGCGUAGAGAUGUGGAGGAAUACCGAUGGCGAACCAGCCCCCUGGGCCAUACUGACGCUCAUGCACGAAAGCGUGGGGAGCAAACAGGAUUAGAUACCCUGGAACU